GAUGUACGCUGGCGGCGUGCCUAAUACAUGCAGGUUGAGCGAACGGACGAGAAGCUUGCUUCUCUGAUGUUAGCGGCGGACGGGUGAGUAACACGUGGAUAACCUACCUAUAAGACUGGGAUAACUUCGGGAAACCGGAGCUAAUACCGGAUAAUAUUUUGAACCGCAUGGUUCAAAAGUGAAAGACGGUCUUGCUGUCACUUAUAGAUGGAUCCGCGCUGCAUUAGCUAGUUGGUAAGGUAACGGCUUACCAAGGCAACGAUGCAUAGCCGACCUGAGAGGGUGAUCGGCCACACUGGAACUGAGACACGGUCCAGACUCCUACGGGAGGCAGCAGUAGGGAAUCUUCCGCAAUGGGCGAAAGCCUGACGGAGCAACGCCGCGUGAGUGAUGAAGGUCUUCGGAUCGUAAAACUCUGUUAUUAGGGAAGAACAUAUGUGUAAGUAACUGUGCACAUCUUGACGGUACCUAAUCAGAAAGCCACGGCUAACUACGUG
rnacentral:rRNA from 1 species